AGCGAACGCUGGCGGCAGGCCUAACACAUGCAAGUCGAACGAACCCUUCGGGGUUAGUGGCGGACGGGUGAGUAACACGUGGGAACGUGCCUUUAGGUUCGGAAUAACUCAGGGAAACUUGUGCUAAUACCGAAUGUGCCCUUCGGGGGAAAGAUUUAUCGCCUUUAGAGCGGCCCGCGUCUGAUUAGCUAGUUGGUGAGGUAAAGGCUCACCAAGGCUACGAUCGGUAGCUGGUCUGAGAGGAUGACCAGCUACAUUGGGACCGAGACACGGCCCAAACUCCUACGGGAGGCAGCAGUGGGGAAUCUUGCGCAAUGGGCGAAAGCCUGACGCAGCCAUGCCGCGUGGAUGAUGAAGGUCUUAGGAUUGUAAAAUCCUUUCACCGGUGAAGAUAAUGACUGUAGCCGGAGAAGAAGCCCCGGCUAACUUCGUGCCAGCCGCCGCCGUAAUAC
rnacentral:rRNA from 1 species